CAAUAUAAUAAUCUCGAUUUCUUCGAUAUCUCUCUAGUCGAUGGAUUUAACGUACCGUUGGAAUUUAACCCUACUUCCAAUGGGUGCACCAGGGGCAUUAGGUGCACGGCCGAUAUUAUCGGACAAUGUCCGACUGAGUUAAGAGCAGCUGGCGGAUGUAACAAUCCUUGUACUGUUCACAAAACUGAUGAAUAUUGUUGUAAUUCUGGAAAUUGUGGACCAACACCACUUUCUAAGUACUUCAAGGAUAGGUGUCCUGAUGCCUAUAGUUACCCUAAGGAUGAUCAAACUAGCACUUUUACUUGUCAAGGAGGAACCAACUAUAGAGUUGUUUUCUGCCCAUAACUAAUAAAUGGUAUGAAAAAUUACCAAAAUAAUAAUUAGUGUCUUACAAGUCUAUUGGUAAACUAUUUUGUCUUAGCGUAAUGAUAAUAAGUUCUUACGCAUGUGUGUGCAUGUAUUGUAUACACAAUCCCUUCAACUUAUCUAUUUUUUUUAAUCAUAGUGAGCAAAUAAUAUAUACUUAUAUAGUGUCGUCAAUUGGGUGUCAUUUUCCUUUAAUUUAACGGCAUUUUCUUGCCUUAUUAAUUGUUUCUUUUUCUGGUUGAAUUUGGAACUAUAGUGAAUUACUUUACAUGAAAUGACCUUGCUAACACUUGCCUGGUGGUGCUAGCGAAUUAGCAGGUCGUAUUUGAUAUGGACGAGUUGAAAAUAAGUUAGACAACUCUUAUACGCGUGAAGUAGCAAGUGCUAGCAUAUACACUAUGACUCUUUUCUGUGAUUUUGCUAGUUAGAUAGAGCAUACUAAUUUGAUAAUUUUGGGGAAGUGGUAGCUAGCUGAUUAGUAGCUAUAGGAUGUAGGUGGAAUCUGGAAAAUGUAAGUUGUCGAGUGGAGAUUAAUAAAAUGUUUUUCUAAAACCCGAAAGAAUCUAUGGUAGUUUAUGGAGGUGUUAGAAGAGAGAGAGGUUCGAUUCAACUCAAUUCAAUAGGUGCUAUUGCUAUAUAUAGUGGGUGAUAUUCUAGAAGUGGGGGAAGAAAAAAAUGUUUGGGGCAGCAAGUGAUCGUCUUGUGUUAUCCACCUCACUAGAAAUGAUGGACGUCCAUCUUGAGCACUCUUAACAAGGUAUUUUCGUGUAAAAAACUGAAAAAUAUAAUAAAUGAUGAAAUUAAUCUUUUUUGCUUAAUAAAGAAGCAGAUUUAACCUUUUAUUGAUCCUUCGUGCAUAAUAAAGAAGCAAAUUUGACCCUUUUUCUAUAUCUUGUUUCACUAAUCAUUUGUUCUUUUUAAGUCUUCUUCUUGUACAAAGAAUCCAAUCGUUAGAAAAAUCAAAAUUUUAGUAAUAGGUGACCGACUUCCCCACUAAUUAGUUUUGAGCAGACAAAAUCAUUCACAUUACACACAAUAAGAGCUUAGUGUAUCGGACGCAAUUUCAAGAAUUUAAAUAACCGCCUUUGAAUUAAUGUAGUAAUUUGAAGUUUGAUAACAAUACAUCGUGCAAUUAAUUAGUGCAAGCACUACAACUUUUCUAUUCCUCCUUCAGUAUGAUUACUUAAACAAAUAUUUAAGUGGCUUGUGGAAUUCUCCCUCAUAGUAGUUUUCCUUAUAAUUAUUCCAUCCAUUUAAUUCUUCAUGAAAGAGUCCCAAAUUUCCACAACUUAUAUGGUGGAAGUAAUAAGAUUACAUACACAUUUUCCUUGGAAAAUUUUAUGAGCUAGGUUUGACUAAGUUUAUAAGUUGGUUAAAUGGAUUUAAUUUAUGAGUACCUUUUAGCUUAUCUACGCAUUUGAUAUAACAUCCAAAGUGCUUAUAAGUAAUCCCGCAAACCAAACUAUGGUUUUUAAGUUUAUAAACAAUUUUAGUUUGACAAUAUUUUAUAAAGGAAACUAUUUUAUUCUUUCUUCUAAUUCUCAAAAUACAUUUUCUAAAAUAAUAAUUUUAAAAAAACACCUCUCCAAUUGCCGAAUUGGUCGUUCGUCAUUUUCUUUACAAAUAUAGUUUUACCAAACGUACAUCAAACGCUUAUUAUUAGUUUCAACAUUUUCAUCCAAACGCAAAUUGCUUAUUUAUAAAAUAAUUCCAACACUUAAAAUACUACUUAUACUUGAUGCUUAUAAGCUAUACUUUCAAGCAGCUAACUCAAAUGCAUUGACGAAGACUAAUUAGAUCUUCAAGCAAUUGCUACUUCCACUAUGAUCAUACUCCUAUAUUUCUACUCAAAUAACUAUUUUUUUUUUUUCACAUUGCCCCAAAUUUUUCACUAUAAAUAGCUAACAUACCAAUUCUUCUUAGCACACCAAUCACUUAGAAAUCUAAGUAACCAUUUUCAUAAGAAAAAUGUUUGUUUUCAAGUCCAUGUUUAUUUUUCCUCUUGUUCUCAUUGCUCAAUUUCUCCACUUCACUCACUCUGCCGAGGCAGCCUUAUUUAUCAUUCGAAACAAAUGUCCUUACACGGUUUGGGCUGCGUCCGUGCCAGUGGGUGGUGGUCGCCAACUCAACCCUGGCCAGAACUGGUUAAUCCAAGUCCCAGCUGGCACGUCACAAGCCCGUAUUUGGGCCCGAACCGGUUGCAAUUUCGAUGGUUCGGGCCGAGGUAGGUGUCAAACUGGAGAUUGCAAUGGUCUCCUCCGUUGCCAAUCUUAUGGACAACCCCCAAAUUCUUUAGCUGAAUAUGCCCUAAACCAAUACAACAAUCUUGAUUUUUUCGAUGUCUCUCUAGUCGAUGGAUUCAACGUGCCUAUAGAAUUUAGUCCUAUAUCCAAUGGGUGCACCCGUGGCAUUAGGUGCACCGCGGAUAUUAACGGACAGUGUCCGAAUGAACUAAGAGCACCUGGAGGAUGUAACAAUCCUUGUACUGUUUACAAAACUGAUGAAUAUUGUUGUAAUUCUGGG
rnacentral:lncRNA from 1 species